UGCCCAAGAGAUCGGGAUAACACCUGGAAACAGAUGCUGAUACCGGAUAAUAACAGAUGAUGCCUAUCAACUGUUUAAAAGAUGGUUCUGCUAUCACUCUUGGAUGGACCUGCGGUGCAUUAGCUAGUUGGUAGGGUAACGGCCUACCAAGGCGAUGAUGCAUAGCCGAGUUGAGAGACUGAUCGGCCACAUUGGGACUGAGACACGGCCCAAACUCCUACGGGAGGCAGCAGCC
rnacentral:rRNA from 1 species